rnacentral:lncRNA from 1 species
GUUAAAUCAGCUGAAUUUUAAUCUAACACAGGAGAAUUUUAAUGAACAAAGUGUGCAAGAUAUAUUUCAGACAUACAGAAAAACAAAUACAUGUAAAUUUUUAAAAAUUAAUUUUCCCCACAUUGAUUUGUGUGAGUGAAAAUUACUAAUAAAAUAUAAGAAGGAGGAUUUGCCAGUUAUUGAUGAGGGUAUAUGAAAUGGGCAUAUGCCUGCAAACCAGUGAUUUCCAGCCUCUGGUCAGAAAUAUCCAUGUUCCUUGAAGAUAUAUCUGGAAAUUUCUGAAGCAUUUAAGAAAAGAACUCAAUAAAAGGAGAGACAUACCAUGUCCUGAAAACAGAUUUAAAGAUUAUAAGUCAUGUUCCCUAAAACAGUGUACAGUUUUAGUGUGAUCCCAACCAACAUCCUUAGUGAACUAUUUUAAUGAAGCAUGACCAGCUGGGUUUUAAAUUUAUCUACCAAGGUAAGAUGCAGAGAAGGCAAGAAAAAAAAAAAAAAAACAUGGUGAAAUAGUUUAAAUCAGACUUUUUUUUUAAGUAAAGUGAUUUACAACCUUUUUUUUUUUUCAAGAAAUCGCCACCCUAAGGGAAAUUAACAGACACUUGUUGCUAAUUCACUUUCAAGUUAUUUAAAAAGGAACAUUUCUACCCUUUUAUACUUCAGCAAUUUAAUCUGGCAAUUCUCCCUCCCCUAAUUCAGAGAAGGACCGUCUGUCUUCAUCACAGGGAGGGGGCACAGCGUUCUCUGAGAAGCUUCGGAGUGAGCUGUGCCUGGCCAGUCUUGGGGGAGGAGCAGCAUUUCACUGAGCUGCAGCUGACAAGAAGCUUCAAGACAGCCUGUCUCUUUUUGCAGUAAGAAUCAAGACAACCAGAUCACAGAGCCAGACCCUUCCUGAUCCACGUGACUUUGGUAUCUUCCAUAUUGUCCAUUCAAACAACGUGUUCAAGCAUCCUUGGGAAGUUCAGCUGGAGGAGAACAGGCCACACAAGCUAUAAACACUUUGUAACUCUUUGUAGUCUUAAAAGGGGCAUUGGUCAAAGUAUUGUUUGUGGUAGGGACUUCCUUCACAGUGACAAGAAUAGCCAGACACAUAAGUCUCUGAUAUUAACCUCUUG